CUCUAUGGCGGCUGUGUGCAGGCAGACUUCGGUCUGGCUGGAGUCCUACUGUCCAGUUUUCUCACCCUGCACAUAGCUGCCACCCUU
rnacentral:antisense_RNA from 1 species